AAUAGGUUACCCGUAAGGUCUACAGCAAUGAGUAAAACACACAUAAUAAUAGGUUACCCGUAAGGUCUACAGCAAUGAGUAAAACACACAUAAUAAUAGGUUACCCGUAAGGUCUACAGCAAUGAGUAAAACACACAUAAUAAUAGGUUACCCGUAAGGUCUACAGCAAUGAGUAAAACACACAUAAUAAUAGGUUACCCGUAAGGUCUACAGCAAUGAGUAAAACACACAUAAUAAUAGGUUACCCGUAAGGUCUACAGCAAUGAGUAAAACACACAUAAUAAUAGGUUACCCGUAAGGUCUACAGCAAAGAGUAAAACACACAUAAUAAUAGGUUACCCGUAAGGUCUA